AGAUUGAACGCUGGCGGCAGGCCUAACACAUGCAAGUCGAGCGGCAGCACGGGUACUUGUAGCUGGUGGCGAGCGGCGGACGGGUGAGUAAUGCCUAGGAAUCUGCCUGGUAGUGGGGGAUAACGCUCGGAAACGGACGCUAAUACCGCAUACGUCCUACGGGAGAAAGCAGGGGACCUUCGGGCCUUGCGCUAUCAGAUGAGCCUAGGUCGGAUUAGCUAGUUGGUGAGGUAGUGGCUCACCAAGGCGACGAUCCGUAACUGGUCUGAGAGGAUGAUCAGUCACACUGGAACUGAGACACGGUCCAGACUCCUACGGGAGGCAGCAGUGGGGAAUAUUGGACAAUGGGCGAAAGCCUGAUCCAGCCAUGCCGCGUGUGUGAAGAAGGUCUUCGGAUUGUAAAGCACUUUAAGUUGGAGGAAGGCAGUUACCUAAUACGUAUCUGUUUUGACGUUACCGACAGAAUAAGCACCGGCUAACU
rnacentral:rRNA from 1 species